rnacentral:rRNA from 1 species
UACGUAGGGUGCAGGCGUUAAUCGGAAUUACUGGGCGUAAAGCGUGCGCAGGCGGUCUUUUAAGUCAGAUGUGAAAUCCCCGGGCUUAACCUGGGAACUGCGUUUGAAACUGGAAGGCUAGAGUGUGGCAGAGGGGGGUGGAAUUCCACGUGUAGCAGUGAAAUGCGUAGAGAUGUGGAGGAACACCGAUGGCGAAGGCAGCCCCCUGGGCUAACACUGACGCUCAUGCACGAAAGCGCGGGGAGCAAACAGG